CCUACGGGAGGCAGCAGUGAGGAAUAUUGGUCAAUGGGCGGGAGCCUGAACCAGCCAAGCCGCGUGAGGGAAGAAGGUACAGCGUAUCGUAAACCUCUUUUGUCAGGGAACAAAGGCGGGGACUAGUCCCCGGAUGAGGGUACCUGAAGAAAAAGCAUCGGCUAACUCCGUGCCAGCAGCCGCGGUAAUACGGAGGAAGCGAGCGUUAUCCGGUUUUAUUGGGUUGAAAGGGUGCGCAGGCGGCCUGUUAAGUCAGCGGUAAAAGCCCGGGGCUCAACCCCGGCGAGCCGUUGAAACUGGCGGGCUUGAGUUGGAGAGAAGUACGCGGAAUGCGCGGUGUAGCCGUGAAAUGCUUAGAUAUCGCGCAGAACCCCGAUUGCGAAGGCAGCGUACCGGCUCCACACUGACGCUGAGGCACGAAAGCGUGGGUAUCGAACAGGAUUAGAUACCCGAGUAGUC
rnacentral:rRNA from 1 species